CACUGGUCUCCCGUCAGGGAGAUAAUAAGGAACCGGGUGAGAACCCCGGACGGAGCCGCCGCUGUAAUUGGGGAGCAUUUCCCAUAAUGUCACUGGAGAGAUCCGGGAAGACGGGAAAAUGCGCUGAUCCAAGAGUCAGAAGACUUGCCUGUGCCG
rnacentral:ncRNA from 1 species